CUUGACGGAGCCGAGCCACAGCGGCCGGUCCUCCGGGCGGUCCUGGCCAUAGGUGGCCAGCAGCGCCUGCGCCUC
rfam:Streptomyces sp. CB02488 scaffold14, whole genome shotgun sequence.